rnacentral:rRNA from 1 species
AGAGUUUGAUCCUGGCUCAGAUUGAACGCUGGCGGCAUGCCUUACACAUGCAGUCGAGCGGGUUUACCCUUCGGGGUAAGCUAGCGGCGGACGGGUGAGUAACACGUAGGUAACCUGCCUAUAAGAUCGGGAUAACUAUCGGAAACGAUAGCUAAAACCGGAUAACUGGUUUUCUCGCAUGAAAGAAUUAUGAAACACGGAGCAAUCUGUGGCUUAUAGAUGGGCCUGCGGCGCAUUAGCUAGUUGGUAGGGUAACGGCCUACCAAGGCGACCAUGCGUAACCCACCUGAGAGGGUGAACGGCCACACUGGGACUGAAACACGGCCCAGACUCCUACGGGAGGCAGCAGUAGGGAAUCUUCCGCAAUGGACGCAAGUCUGACGGAACAACGCCGCGUGAGUGAUGAAGGUUUUCGGAUCGUAAAGCUCUGUUGCCCUAAACGAACAGCAAGGAAAGUAACUGCUCUUUGUGUGACGGUAUAGGAAAAGAAAGCCCCGGCUAACUACGUGCCAGCAGCCGCGGUAAUACGUAGGGGGCAAGCGUUGUCCGGAAUUAUUGGGCGUAAAGCGCGCGCAGGCGGUCAAUUAAGUUGGGUGUUUAAGCCCGGG